GUGCUAAGGUAGCAUAAUCAUUCGUCUUUUAAUUGAAGACUAGAACAAAAGAUCUAACAUUUUAAUAAAUUUUCUACAAUUAAAAAUUCAAUUUUUAUUUAAUGUUAAAAUACAUUAAUAAAAAAAAAAGACGACAAGACCCUAAUGAACUUAACUUAAGUUAAACUGGGGCAGUAAAUUAAAUAAUAUUUUAAUUUUUAAAAAUUAAAAAAAAUCCAUUAAAAAUGAUAUACAAGUUACCAUAGGGAUAACAGCGUAAUAUAUAUUAAAAGAUCAUAUACAAGUAUAUGUUUACGACCUCGAUGUUGAAUUAAUUAUCUAAUUAAUGUAAAAAUUAACCAAGAAAGUCUGUUCGACUUUUAAACAAUUACAUGAUUUGAGUUCAGACCGGUAUAAGCCAGGUCGGUUUCAAUCUUUUAUAAAAAAUAUUACAGUACGAAAGGACCUAAUAAUUUAAUAUUAUUAUUAAUUUGGCAGAAUAUUGCAUUAGAAUUAGAAUCUAAUAAACUAUUA
rnacentral:rRNA from 1 species